rnacentral:rRNA from 1 species
GGGGAAUAUUGCGCAAUGGGGGCAACCCUGACGCAGCCAUGCCGCGUGAAUGAAGAAGGCCUUCGGGUUGUAAAGUUCUUUCGGUAGCGAGGAAGGCAUUUAGUUUAAUAGACUAGAUGAUUGACGUUAACUACAGAAGAAGCACCGGCUAACUCCGUGCCAGCAGCCGCGGUAAUACGGAGGGUGCGAGCGUUAAUCGGAAUAACUGGGCGUAAAGGGCACGCAGGCGGACUUUUAAGUGAGGUGUGAAAGCCCCGGGCUUAACCUGGGAAUUGCAUUUCAGACUGGGAGUCUAGAGUACUUUAGGGAGGGGUAGAAUUCCACGUGUAGCGGUGAAAUGCGUAGAGAUGUGGAGGAAUACCGAAGGCGAAGGCAGCCCCUUGGGAAUGUACUGACGCUCAUGUGCGAAAGCGUGGGGAGCAAACAGGAUUAGAUACCCUGGUAGUCCACGCUGUAAACGCUGUCGAUUUGGGGAUUGGGCUUAAUGCUUGGUGCCCGUAGCUAACGUGAUAAAUCGACCGCCUGGGGAGUACGGCCGCAAGGUUA